rnacentral:misc_RNA from 1 species
GCAAACUUGGUCAUUUAGAGGAAGUAAAAGUCGUAACAAGGUUUCCGUAGGUGAACCUGCGGAAGGAUCAUUAUUGAAUAAACUUGGUCAAGUUGUUGCUGGUCCUUUGGGACAUGUGCACGCUUGCCACCAAUUUUUAACCACCUGUGCACCAUUUGUAGACUGGAAACGUUUUCGAGAGCAACUCGGUUUGAGAACUGUUGUGCGAAAGCCAGCUGUUCUUGUGUUUUCUCAGUCUAUGUUUUCAUUAUGCUCCUUAACGUAUGUAAAAGAAUGUACUUGUGGGCCUUCGUGCCUCUAAACUAUAUACAACUUUCAACAACGGAUCUCUUGGCUCUCGCAUCGAUGAAGAACGCAGC